rnacentral:rRNA from 1 species
AUUGAACGCUGGCGGUAGGCCUAACACAUGCAAGUCGAACGGCAGCACAGUAAGAGCUUGCUCUUACGGGUGGCGAGUGGCGGACGGGUGAGGAAUACAUCGGAAUCUACUUUUUCGUGGGGGAUAACGUAGGGAAACUUACGCUAAUACCGCAUACGACCUACGGGUGAAAGCAGGGGAUCUUCGGACCUUGCGCGAUUGAAUGAGCCGAUGUCGGAUUAGCUAGUUGGCGGGGUAAAGGCCCACCAAGGCGACGAUCCGUAGCUGGUCUGAGAGGAUGACCAGCCACACUGGAACUGAGACACGGUCCAGACUCCUACGGGAGGCAGCAGUGGGGAAUAUUGGACAAUGGGCGCAAGCCUGAUCCAGCCAUGCCGCGUGGGUGAAGAAGGCCUUCGGGUUGUAAAGCCCUUUUGUUGGGAAAGAAAAGCAGCAGGUUAAUACCGCGCUGUUCUGACGGUACCCAAAGAAUAAGCACCGGCUAACUUCGUG